ensembl:lncRNA
GUUCAAAAGGCACUGAGGUUAGUGAGUAGAGGCUGAUAUUAAUCCCCUAAACACUUCUCCUGUAUCUUUCUUUCUCGUACAUCACACACACACACACACACUUUCACUCUCUCUCUCAGGUAAAGCUUUCUUCACUCCAGGUUGUUUUUUUCCUCUCAGCAAGUCUCUGCAGGGAAGCAAGUGUGUGGGAGUGCUUUCAACGAGCUCUCCACGCGUUCUCUGUGAAACGAGCGCAACCUGCCCUUCUUCUUCUUGCUCACUCUGUUCACCCUCACGCUCUUUGAGUACUGUCUGCUGUCUCUGCCACACCUACGUUCCCGUUCAUCAAACCAAGAGCAGGAUAUCUAAGCUUGACAUCUGGCCCUGUCUGACAUACCUCAAGUGACAGUAUGGGCAGAACACUGAGAGAGUGAACCUCACUGUAACCCCAUUCUCUACCACCACUCAAAGCACCAGUAGAUAAGCUGUUGUCACUGCAGGCAGGCUGCCGGUGAGCCGAGACUGAGCAGCGCUGGAAGCCAGAAACUGUGAGUCCACCAUGGCUGCUGCAAUUAUCUCUUAUUGAACCCUUACAUCAAAGAGAUGCUGUGGCCCCGUGGUGACUGUCUCAUCAGCGUGUUCUGUAGAAUUAUAUGCAUUUCCACUCUAAAGAGACAUAUUUCACCUAGAUGUGGAUUCAACACUGAUACAUAUUGCUUCUACAUCAAAUGUUGUGGAGGUUCCCUCUCAUUUAAUAAUGUCAUGCAUAAACUGUGAGUGUAUUUUUGAAUGCACAUUUUUUGACUAUAUAAAUACACUAUGUUAAUUUUUUUUUGUCAGUAAAACAAAUAAAUAGAUAAAAAAUAAAUAAAUAAACCUACUAACCUACUAAUAAAAUCUAAUUAGCAAGAAUACAUUAAACUGGAGUGACAGGAGAUAAUAUAAUAUUAUAAACAAUUUCUAUUUCAAAUAAAUAUCAUUCUUCUGAUUUUUUAUUUUUUUUAUCAAAAAAAAUCUUGAGAUAAAUGUUUUCAACUUCAACUAAUACGCAAUGUUUCUUGAGCACCAAAUUAGCAUAUUAAAAUGAUUUCUAAAGAAUCACGUGACACUGAAGACUGGCUCCUGAAAACUUUGACAUCUCAAAUUACAUUUAAAAUAUGAUAAAAUAGAAAACAUUUCAAAUUGUAAUAAUAUAUCCCAAUAUUACUGUUUUUACAGUAUUUUUGAUCAAAUAAAUUCAUUCUUGAUGAGC